ACAUCGGUAGCACAGUGGAUUGCAGUCUGGAGGAAACAGAAAGACGCGGGUUCAAUUCCCGUCCGAUGUC
rnacentral:tRNA from 1 species